UACGGAGGGUGCAAGCGUUAUCCGGAUUCACUGGGCUUAAAGGGCGCGUAGGCGGUUUUGUAAGUCAGUGGUGAAAGCCCGGAGCUCAACUCCGGAACUGCCAUUGAUACUGCUUAACUUGAAUCAAGUAGAGGUGGAUGGAAUAAUACAUGUAGCGGUGAAAUGCUUAGAUAUGUAGUAGAACACCGAUGGCGAAGGCAGGUCACUAGGCUUGUAUUGACACUGAGGCACGAAAGCGUGGGGAGCAAACAGG
rnacentral:rRNA from 1 species